UACGAAGGGGGCUAGCGUUGCUCGGAUUGACUGGGCGUAAAGGGUGCGUAGGCGGGUUUUUAAGUCAGGGGUGAAAUCCUGGAGCUCAACUCCAGAACUGCCUUUGAUACUGAAAAUCUUGAGUCCGGGAGAGGUGAGUGGAACUGCGAGUGUAGAGGUGAAACUCGUAGAUAUUCGCAAGAACACCAGUGGCGAAGGCGGCUCACUGGCCCGGUACUGACGCUGAGGCACGAAAGCGUGGGGAGCAAACAGG
rnacentral:rRNA from 1 species